UGGCUAGCCAAGGAACUGAAGAGGAAGAGGCGGCUGCACAAUCCUAAAAUUCGGAGGCAGUCCGCCCGCUACACAACUCUGAGGAAACUGUAGGCGCUAUGACCCGGAGCAGGGGGACGGAUUAAAGAUAUGGGCUAACAUGCACUCUGUUGUUUCAGAAGUAAAUAAACACGUUGUUGUAACUCUGUACUUUUGUCCUCCACAGAUUAAACUCGCCAUAUAAUGAGACGGUCUCCUCAUUUUAAUGGAGCACUGUCCAUAAGCCCGGAAUUGUGUUAUGAAGGCCUGGAUAAAAAUGACUUUGUUGUUGCCUGUAAGAUAUACUACGAGACCGUGCGUAGAAAUGUCCGGUCCAGCCAGAGCUAGCCAAUGUGGCUACAGCUAAUAAGACCUCAACCCGAAGUCGCCAGAGGAGGAAAAAGCGAGGCAAAGUGUACUGGCUGCGGACGAAGUGGACUUCUGGAGGGGAAUGACCGCUGACAUGAUGUCAGAUGAAGAAGACCGUGCCGUUGAUGGAGUCUCGGGGUGGAUUGUGAGACCUCCAUCGUUCCACAGCCAGGAGCUCAGCAAUCUGUGUGAUAAGCUGCAGACGAGACUAGAAGCCAGUCCAAAGUGUGCAGCACUGCAUCACCGGCGUCUGUGAACUGGGCUUCCGUCUAACAGAACACCACCACAUACCUACGACCCCG